rnacentral:rRNA from 1 species
GUGCCAGCCGCCGCGGUAAUACGGAGGGUGCGAGCGUUUAUCGGAAUUACUGGGCGUAAAGCGCGCGUAGGCGGCUUGUUAAGUCGGAUGUGAAAUCCCCGGGCUCAACCUGGGAACUGCAUCCGAUACUGGCGAGCUGGAGUGCGAUAGAGGGGGGUAGAAUUCCUAGUGUAGCGGUGAAAUGCGUAGAUAUUAGGAGGAAUACCGGUGGCGAAGGCGGCCCCCUGGAUCGACACUGACGCUGAGGUGCGAAAGCGUGGGUAGCAAACAGGAUUAGAAACCCGUGUAGUCC